AUUGAACGCUGGCGGCAUGCCUUACACAUGCAAGUCGAACGGCAGCGCGGGAGCAAUCCUGGCGGCGAGUGGCGAACGGGUGAGUAAUAUAUCGGAACGUGCCCUGUAGCGGGGGAUAGCCCGGCGAAAGCCGGAUUAAUACCGCAUACGCUCUACGGAGGAAAGCGGGGGUCGCAAGACCUCGCACUAUAGGAGCGGCCGAUAUCGGAUUAGCUAGUUGGCGGGGAAAAGCCCACCAAGGCUACGAUCCGUAGCUGGUCUGAGAGGAUGAUCAGCCACACUGGAACUGAGACACGGUCCAGACUCCUACGGGAGGCAGCAGUGGGGAAUUUGGACAAUGGGCGCAAGCCUGAUCCAGCCAUGCCGCGUGAGUGAAGAAGGCUCGGUGUAAG
rnacentral:rRNA from 1 species